GCGGGGAGCGGCUCUGGAGACCUGCGAGGAGGCAGGUCAGGUGCAGAGUUCACAGGGCAGGGGGCAGGAGGAGGGUGAGCCACAGGGAGGGGGAUGGGUGUGGGGGCCUGCUUGUUACUGUUGGGGUUGGGGAAGGUGAGUGGGGGGGGGGCAGAGUCUGGGCCGGGGGCCUGCACAGGGGCACCACAGUGACUUGUGAGGCUGGGGCUUGUUCCAUGAGGAGGGGACGAGGAGGGGACCCAGUGUCACCUGCGUGUGGGGAGAUGACCAUGCCAGGAUCCCUGUUGGGCAGUCAUACCCCUGGGUGAACAGGAGAGCACCACGGUGCUGGUGUGGCCAGCCAGGCAGUGGAGAUGGGGCACAGGUCAGAGCCAGGGCCUGGGUGGGGAGGAGGUCGGGCCUCUGAGCUGCUGAGACACCAGGAGGGGCGGCCACACAUAGGGCAGGUGGGUGAGGGGCAGCAAGGGUCCUGGCUUACAUUUUAGGGUGGGAGAGACUUGGCCCCUCUGUGGAUGCGCCCCAGGGUGGGACAUUGCAAAGGAGACUGUGUCCUUAGAGCCCCUGCUGGUCACAGGCAUGUGCUGCUGGGGAGGGGGACAGGUGGCCACCACAGCCGCCUGGACGUCCACUCUGGUCUAGUCCGCGUGCUUGGGAGACCUAGGGAACGGCAAGCUCUGGGGCCAGGCAGAACCCGGUCCCCUCGAGUGGGGUUGGCCCGCGUGGGGCCUGAGAGGCUGGAAGACAAUGGGGCCCACAGGGGGUGGUGGCCUCUGGACUUUGUCUAAGUGCCUGGUUGACGCAGUGUGCCCUGGAGGAUCCCGGGAGUUAGCAUGUACACGGUGGCCCUGAGACCCCACCCCUCAGGGUGCAGAGUUCGUGUGGUGCCACUGGAGACCCCACCCGUCGGGGAGCAGAGUGCACACGGUGCUCCUGGAGACCCCAGCCUGGGCUGGGCAGAGCCCUGGUGGUGGGAAGUGCCCUGGCUCUUGGUAGGCGGGCGUAGCUGUGUUAAGUCAUUCUUGAUAGCAUUUCUCCCCAAAGGAAUCCAGAAGGAUUUCGCCGAAGAAUGGAAGUUCUGUGCCUGUGAAUGAGUGAGCUCUCCUCGUGGGUUGUGAGAGUCAGCAUCGCCCCUGCCUCGGUCUGCCACUCCACGCACUUCUUAGGUGUGCAGCGCCUCCAGGAUGAUGGCGAAUGGGGCCGGGUGAGCCAGGUUAAGGCACAGUCCUACAGGUGCAGGGGAGACCUAGGAUGGGGGGGGGGGUCUGUUCCUUCUGCCUCGGGGCUGGGCCUGCAGCUGGGAAGAGGCAGCAGCUGAGGGAUGAGGAGGGGACUGCAACCUGUGUUCAGGUCUCACAUUCACCCAUCUGUGCUGCUUCCAUCAUGAGCCACUGUGGACUUGUGGGAAUCCUGACGGCAAAACUGGUCACCCAGGAAGCUUACAGCUGACACGGGAGCCCACUGGCAUGUCCCCAGUGCCUCUUCCCACUGAGAGACGCCACAUAUGCCCGUCUUUGGGGUUCUAUUUGGGGGAUGGGGUAAUCUUGGCCUGGGUCCACCUCCCUGGUC
ensembl:lncRNA